rnacentral:misc_RNA from 1 species
AACACUGUUAACCUGCGGUACCUGCGGAAGGAUCAUUACCGAGUUUACAACUCCCAAACCCCUGUGAACAUACCACUUGUUGCCUCGGCGGAUCAGCCCGCUCCCGGUAAAACGGGACGGCCCGCCAGAGGACCCCUAAACUCUGUUUCUAUAUGUAACUUCUGAGUAAGACCAUAAAUAAAUCAAAACUUUCAACAACGGAUCU